rnacentral:lncRNA from 1 species
CGAACGGUCACGGAAAUGAACCGACGGCGACGAAGAGGAAGGCGAAACGGUGAGGUGAAGCGGGCUGAGCCUAAUCGGAGAUGACGGAAAGUGACGGAGAGGAACGAGGGGUAAAGAGGGGUGACGAAAAGAGCCGAAGCUGGUGAAGCGGAGGGAGGGAAGAUGGCCGACAGGAGCCGGAGGGGCUUCGGGGGCUCGGCCGAGUGGGGGACGCCGGAGCCCGCGCUCUGCAGCGCCGGGACGCGGCUGCGCGGGGCGCUCCUCGCCCUCCCUGUCUCCCUAAGACACGUUUUCCUCCCGGGGGCACAAGAUGCAGAACGCGGAGGUCGCCAUCUUGGCCGCGUUCGAGCCCCGGGUGCGCGGGUCGCGCGGCGCCGCCGUCUGUCUGCAGAACGUUCGCACCUUCCCGAGCCGAACAGCUGCGUUCCGCGUCCCCGAGCCCGGGGCCGCGUGUCUUCUACGUUCCGGCCUCAGUGGGACCUCCCAGGCACGGAGGUGGCCGCGGCGCUGAGACCUCCCGGGUACGGAGGUCUUCCAGGCAUCAGCUCCACAAAGACCCGACUCCAAGUGAGGUCCCAUCCGAGGUGCCGGGUGGACGUGGCCUGCGGGAGAUGCUUUUCCACGCACUGCAGCGGUGUUGCCGGUGAGCUGGAGGUCAGGGCUCCGACAAGGAAGGAGACUGAGACUCAAUCUGACGCCUGUCACCCCAGCACUUUGGGAGGCCGAGGCGGGCGGGUCACGAGGUCAAGAGAUCGGGACCAGCCUGGCCGACGUGCUGAAACCCCGUCUCUACUAAAAAUACAAAAAUUAGCCGGACAGGGUGGCGCGCACCUGUGGUCCCAGCUACUCGGGAGGCUGAGGCAGGAGAAUGGCUUGAACCCGGGAGGCGGAGGUUGCAGUGAGCCGAGAUUGCGCCAUGGCACUCCAGCCUGGCGACAGAGGAAGGUCUCCAAAAAGAAAACAAAGAAGGUGGGCAUCUGUGUGAAGGCACGGAAGGGUGUCACGGGACCCUGUGACACACGGGUGGGGGUCCUCGGUGACAAGCUGGCGUGA